rnacentral:rRNA from 1 species
AAUUUCUGGUCUUGGACUUCGGUCUGCCUCAAACGAGGUACGUACCAGGAGUCUGAGACCAUCCUCGAGGAAAACAUGCCUGUCAUUAAGUUAAUGGGUAUGUGAACCUCGUCAUUUACUGUGAGCAAAAUAGGGUGUUCAAAGCAGGCUUAUGCCGUUGAAUACAUUAGCAUGGAAUAAUAAGAUAAGACCUUGGUCUAUUUUGUUGGUUUGUACUCCAAGGUAAUGAUUAAUAGGGAUAGUUGGGGGUAUUCGUAUUCAAUUGUCAGAGGUGAAAUUCUUGGAUUUAUGGAAGACGAACUACUGCGAAAGCAUU